UACGGGGAGCAGCAGGCGCGAAACCUUUCCAAUGCACGCAAGUGUGAGAAGGGGAUCCCAAGUGCUCAACAAUGUUGGGCUUUUGCCAUGUGUAAAUAGCUUGGCGAAUAAGGGGUGGGUAAGACUGGUGCCAGCAGCGCGGUAA
rnacentral:rRNA from 1 species